CACGCCGUAAACGAUGAAUACUAGGUGUAGGGGGUAUCGACCCCCCCUGUGCCGGAGCAAACGCAAUAAGUAUUCCGCCUGGGGAGUACGACCGCAAGGUUGAAACUCAAAGGAAUUGACGGGGGCCCGCACAAGCAGCGGAGCAUGUCGUUUAAUUCGAUGCAACGCGAAGAACCUUACCAGGGCUUGACAUCCUCUGAAUCCUGCGGAAACGCGGGAGUGCCUUCGGGAGCAGAGAGACAGGUGG
rnacentral:rRNA from 1 species